rnacentral:rRNA from 1 species
CAUGUUCACAUGAUUAAAGGUAUUCCGGUAGACGAUGGGGAUGCGUUCCAUUAGAUAGUAGGCGGGGUAACGGCCCACCUAGUCUUCGAUGGAUAGGGGUUCUGAGAGGAAGGUCCCCCACAUUGGAACUGAGACACGGUCCAAACUCCUACGGGAGGCAGCAGUGAGGAAUAUUGGUCAAUGGGCGCAGGCCUGAACCAGCCAAGUAGCGUGAAGGAUGACUGCCCUAUGGGUUGUAAACUUCUUUUAUAAAGGAAUAAAGUCGGGUAUGCAUACCCGUUUGCAUGUACUUUAUGAAUAAGGAUCGGCUAACUCCGUGCCAGCAGCCGCGGUAAUACGGAGGAUCCGAGCGUUAUCCGGAUUUAUUGGGUUUAAAGGGAGCGUAGAUGGAUGUUUAAGUCAGUUGUGAAAGUUUGCGGCUCAACCGUAAAAUUGCAGUUGAUACUGGAUAUCUUGAGUGCAGUUGAGGCAGGCGGAAUUCGUGGUGUAGCGGUGAAAUGCUUAGAUAUCACGAAGAACUCCGAUUGCGAAGGCAGCCUGCUAAGCUGCAACUGACAUUGAGGCUCGAAAGUGUGGGUAUCAAACAGGAUUAGAUACCCUGGUAGUCCACACGGUAAACGAUGAAUACUCGCUGUUUGCGAUAUACGGCAAGCGGCCAAGCGAAAGCGUUAAGUAUUCCACCUGGGGAGUACGCCGGCAACGGUGAAACUCAAAGGAAUUGACGGGGGCCCGCACAAGCGGAGGAACAUGUGGUUUAAUUCGAUGAUACGCGAGGAACCUUACCCGGGCUUAAAUUGCAGAUGAAUUACGGUGAAAGCCGUAAGCCGCAAGGCAUCUGUGAAGGUGCUGCAUGGUUGUCGUCAGCUCGUGCCGUGAGGUGUCGGCUUAAGUGCCAUAACGAGCGCAACCCUUGUUGUCAGUUACUAACAGGUUCCGCUGAGGACUCUGACAAGACUGCCAUCGUAAGAUGUGAGGAAGGUGGGGAUGACGUCAAAUCAGCACGGCCCUUACGUCCGGGGCUACACACGUGUUACAAUGGGGGGUACAGAGGGCCGCUACCACGCGAGUGGAUGCCAAUCCCAAAAACCUCUCUCAGUUCGGACUGGAGUCUGCAACCCGACUCCACGAAGCUGGAUUCGCUAGUAAUCGCGCAUCAGCCACGGCGCGGUGAAUACGUUCCCGGGCCUUGUACACACCGCCCGUCAAGCCAUGGGAGCCGGGGGUACCUGAAGUGCGUAACCGCGAGGAGCGCCCUAGGGUAAAACUGGUGACUGGGGCUAAGUCGUAACAAGGUAGCCGUACCGGAAGGUGCGGCUG